CUACACACACUCCGCACGUUGGGUUGCCGAUGUACCCCCAGCUUACUGCUGUCCGAUGGCGUGUGUGUGAGCGUGUGCCUGAGUACCAUGGCUGAUUAACCCCGCGCACACUUGUAGUUAGACUGCACAGCACGUACAAGUGAAGACGGGCUUGCCCAUCACUCUUGUCCACGUCGCCUUACGGACCGAGCGUGUAGGCAACCUUGCUGUGCCGCACGCACGAGUGCGGGCGGGUUGCCUACUCUCUCGGCCCGUCAGGCGCCGUGGACAGAAGUGAUAGACCCGCCUGCACUUGUACGUACUGUACAGUCUAAUUAAUCAGCCAACCUGGCACAGUGGCUCUUGUAUGAAGAGACGUGGAAUUAGAGAGCUGACUGAGCGAUUCGGAAUGUUUAUCAAAAUGUAUUUAAAACUUGCGGUUGGUAGCGACGUCAGGCGUCCCCACUCGCCCCGCUCUUCCCGCCUCUUGUUCAAACACCGUCGGUAAUCGUGAACGUUUGCGGCGCCAGCAGGACAAGCAUCCUGGAAGAAGUUUUGCUGGGCAGAGACCACCCGAGUGAUCGGGUAAUCCAGAAUUCUCAUGACCAGUCACGCGUUGCUUAUCCACAACAAAUAGGGCGAAACACCAAAAGGUCCAGCACAGCACGAUACAUCAGUUGUUGUCACGCAUGCGCAGUGACGCAGUUUCACAGCAGAAGAGCACAGUAAAAACUUUCAAUUUUCUUAGACCCUUCGUUUUUCUUACAUUACUCGUGUGCCCAUUCAAAAGCAGCGAUUAUAUUAGAUCAAUUUUAGAGUAACACAUGUUUUCUCUAAAAAUUAGUUGAUUAAUCAUUUGAUAACAUGAGGCUUUUAGGUGGAAUAAUCAGAACAGUAGAAAACAUAACCUCACCGUUUCUGGUGAGAUGUAAACAGAGAGAAGUUCACACUUCACAUUCAAGCAACAGUGCUGUAUUAAUAGAUGGAUUGAAAAGAGCUCAAGUAAUUCAAAAACAAUUAAAACGUGAAGUGUUUUCCAUGCAAGAACAAGGGUACCAGUGUCCGCAGUUAGUUACAGUAUUGGUAGGAAAUAAUGAAGCAAGUCUCACCUAUGUUAAAAAGAAGAUGAUAGCUGCCACUGAAUUAGGUAUAUCCGCCAACUUGAUUCAUUUGAAAAGUUCUGUUCAUGAAUCAGAAUUGAUUGAUUUAAUCAAAUCUCUCAAUGAAGACCAAAAUGUUCAUGCUAUUUUGGUUCAGUUACCUCUCCCAAAACAUAUGUGUAAGCAGACCAUAUGUAACAUAAUUGAGCCACUUAAAGAUGUUGAUGGGUUCAGUUUCAGUAAUCUAGGGAAAUUUUUCCUGGGCUCUAGCACCUUUUGGCCCUGCACUGCUUUGGCAGUUUGUGAUCUCAUCAGAAGCACGGGCAUUGAAUCAAAGGGUAAAAAUGCUGUUGUCUGCGGGAGGUCAAAAAAUGUUGGUCUCCCAAUUGCUCUGGCUCUUCAGGCUCCAGGCAUGGAUGCUACAACAACAAUUUGCCACCGAUUCACGCCCCAUCAACAGCUGUGCUCUCUCACAAGAAAUGCUGACAUUCUAGUUUCUGCCACAGUACAGGUGUUCCAAAAUUAAUAACUUCUGACAUGGUCAAGCCAGGCGCUUGUGUUAUUGAUGUUGGGAUUACACGAAUACCCGGGAAAAAGUCAAUGAUUGUAGGGGAUAUUGAUUUUGAUGGUGUAAGCAGGAUAGCUGGCUACAUAACUCCAGUUCCUGGAGGAGUAGGACCAAUGACUGUUGCCAUGCUAAUGAAAAACACUGUGAAAGCCGCUAGAAGACAUCAGGUCGGCUUAGGGACAUAAUCAAUUCAAUUCAUUUAAAUUCAAUUCAUGUUAAAUUGUUGUUGUUUUUUAAAGAGGGAGCGGGGGGGAUCCUGUUGAUUUGUUGUACAUGCACAAAUGGUUGCAGGAAACUUAUAUUUAAAUUUUGAAAUGUAAUGUGAACUUUUUAAAAAAAUUAAAUACCUAAAGGCAGUAUUUGAAAAA